rnacentral:rRNA from 1 species
GACGAACGCUGGCGGCGUGCUUAACACAUGCAAGUCGAACGAUGAAGCCCAGCUUGCUGGGUGGAAGAGUGGCGAACGGGUGAGUAACACGUGAGUAACCUGCCCUGAACUCUGGGAUAAGCACUGGAAACGGUGUCUAAUACUGGAUACGACCUAUCACCGCAUGGUGUGUGGGUGGAAAGAUUUAUCGGUUCUGGAUGGACUCGCGGCCUAUCAGCUAGAUGGUGAGGUAAUGGCUCACCAUGGCGACGACGGGUAGCCGGCCUGAGAGGGUGACCGGCCACACGGGGACGGGGACACGGCCCAGACCCCUAGGGGAGGGGGGGGGGGGGAAUAUGACACAAUGGGGGAAAGCCUGAUGCAGCAACGCCGGGGGAGGGAAGACGGCCUUCGGGUUGUAACCCUUUUUUAGAGGGGAAGAAGCAAAAGUGACGGUACCUGCAGAAAAAGCACCGGCUAACUGCGU